CCCAUGGAAGGAGGCUCCAGCCUCAGCAAACAAUAGAGUUUUUUUUACUUCCUUGCCAUUUCUCAUAUUCUCACUUUCUAUGUGUUGAGUCACUUGCCCAGAACCACUCAAAUUCCCAGGGGUUUUAUCAAUCUCCAAUUCAAACAAGCAUCAGAGGUAUAUACUUCUUUGUUUUGAAGCAAAGGUGUAUUGUAUACAGAGACUCUAAAGGUGGAGAAGCCGACUAAUAUAAUACUUCAGCUGAGUUUGGAAGUGGGACAGAAACCGUU
rnacentral:lncRNA from 1 species